AGAGUUUGAUCCUGGCUCAGAAUGAACGCUGGCGGCGUGCCUAACACAUGCAAGUCGGAUGUGCCCGCAAGGGUGCAUGGCAGACGGGUGAGUAACGCGUGGGGAAUCUACCUCUUUGUGGGGAAUAACGCUCCGAAAGGAGUGGUAAUACCGCAUGAGAUCCAUGGCUGGGAUGCUGUGGAUGAAACCUGGGGACCUUCGGGCCUGGGGCAAGGAGAGGAUCCUGCGUCUGAUUAGCUAGUUGGUGAGGUAACGGCCCACCAAGGCAACGAUCAGUAGCCGGCCUGAAAGGGUGAACGGCCACACUGGAACUGAGACACGGUCCAGACUCCUACGGGAGGCAGCAGUGGGGAAUUUUGGACAAUGGGGGCAACCCUGAUCCAGCAACGCCGCGUGAGCGAUGAAGGUCUUCGGAUUGUAAAGCUCUGUCAAGUGGAACGAUGGGUUUUAAGGCUAAUAUCCUUAAGAUUUGACGGUACCACUGGAGGAAGUCACGGCUAACUACGUGCCAGCAGCCGCGGUAAUACGUAGGUGGCAAGCAUUGUUCGGAUUUACUAGGCGUAAAGGGCGUGCAGGUGGCCUUGUAAGUUGGAAGUGAAAAUUCACAGCUUAACUGUGGAACUGCUUCCAAAACUGCUUGGCUUGAGUAUAGGAGAGGGAAAUGGAAUUCCUGGUGUAGCGGUGAAAUGCGUAGAUAUCAGGAAGAACACCUGUGGCGAAGGCGAUUUCCUGGCCUAAAACUGACACUGAGACGCGAAAGCUAGGGGAGCAAACAGGAUUAGAUACCCUGGUAGUCC
rnacentral:rRNA from 1 species